rnacentral:ncRNA from 1 species
CAACCUCAACUCAUAUGGGACUACCCCCUGAAUUUAAGCAUAUUAAUUAGGGGAGGAAAAGAAACUAACAAGGAUUUUCUUAGUAGCGGCGAGCGAAAAGAAAACAGUUCAGCACUAAGUCACUUUGUCUAUAUGGCAAAUGUGAGAUGCAGUGUAUGGAGCGUCAAUAUUCUAGUAUGAGAAAUUAAUGAUUUAAGUCCUUCUUAAAUGAGGCCAUUUACCCAUAGAGGGUGCCAGGCCCGUAUAACGUUAAUGAUUGCUAGAUGAUGUUUCCAAAGAGUCGUGUUGCUUGAUAGUGCAGCACUAAGUGGGUGGUAAACUCCAUCUAAAACUAAAUAUAACCAUGAGACCGAUAGUAAACAAGUACCGUGAGGGAAAGUUGAAAAGAACUCUGAAUAGAGAGUUAAACAGUACGUGAAACU